UCAAUUCGCAGAAAUUCGACAGUUGCCCAGGUCUGUGAAAUUCUGGCCAGACGAACCGGCUACCGAAAAGUCUCGGAAUUGGAUCAAGAUUUUAGCUACCCACCAUUGUCAGACGUCCCGAGCGCGUCUCCGGAGUCGAAAUCGAUAUAGGUGAGCCGAGACAGCCUUCCUCCUCCGCCCAGCCGCCACAGUGACUUCAGUUGAGUCUGCUACAUGAGGAUAUUUGUUGUGGUUAAACUGCUUUUCUUCUUCGCAGGUCGUCUAUUAAUGUUUGUUUAAUUCUGUUAACUCCUAGAACUUCCGCAUGUGUUAUAAAUAUUCAUUUGAUUUGGGUCUGUAAUAUAAUUACCAUGUUGGACCUGUAAACUUAUUAUAUGCAUGUAUGUUGGAUUGAAUGAGGGAGCUGAGCUCCCAUUUAUUUUUAUGACAUUUGAGUAUGUGGAGGGUGA